rnacentral:rRNA from 1 species
GACGAACGCUGGCGGCGUGCUUAACACAUGCAAGUCGAACGGAAAGGCCCUGCUUUUGUGGGGUGUUCGAGUGGCGAACGGGUGAGUAACACGUGAGUAACCUGCCCUUGACUUUGGGAUAACUUCAGGAAACUGGGGCUAAUACCGGAUAGGAGCUCCUGCUGCAUGGUGGGGGUUGGAAAGUUUCGGCGGUUGGGGAUGGACUCGCGGCUUAUCAGCUUGUUGGUGGGGUAGUGGCUUACCAAGGCUUUGACGGGUAGCCGGCCUGAGAGGGUGACCGGCCACAUUGGGACUGAGAUACGGCCCAGACUCCUACGGGAGACAGCAGUGGGGAAUAUUGCACAAUGAGCGGAAGCCUGAUGCAGCAACGCCGCGUGCGGGAUGACGGCCUUCGGGUUGUAAACCGCUUUCGCCUGUGACGAAGCGUGAGUGACGGUAAUAGGUAAAGAAGCACCGGCUAACUACGUG